ACACGUGAAGCUGAAUGGCAUUGGCCGCCAAGAACGGGUCUCAUUUUUCCAUUUUAAUUUUCAGAAAAUCACUCGGGAGUGAGAUAAUGCUCUUGACCACGUUGUCGAUCACCAAGAGAUCUGGGACCGACGCCAAGCAGGGAGGCUGCUGAGGUUAAAUCCCGUCGUCUGGAGGGCCGUCUGCUUCGACCAGUCUGCCGACGUCUCCUCGCACCGAAGAGCCAUAGACAGGAAGUGGCGAUAGAAGCAGAUUGCAAGCCUUUCAUCAACAACAGAAGUCGGCGUGGAAGUGGCAGCCUUCCGGCGAUGGGGAAAAAACCGUGUUUUGUCGGGUAUCACUGCGCAGCUUCUCGCACUUGCGAGACAAACGACGGCUGUGCCGCGAAACCCAGAAUUUGGGAGCGGCCGGUUCGAUGUUGCUGCAGCAGUCGUUCCCUCAAGCUCAAUCGCAAGAUUGCUUGUUUUUUUAAACUGUGCAGAGCUUGUUUCUUUGUAGUGUUAUGCGCUUUGCAAUAAAUAUUUAUUGAGCUCUUA